rnacentral:rRNA from 1 species
CUUGUAGGCGGCCAACUAAGUCAAACGUGAAAUCCCUCGGCUUAACCGGGGAACUGCGCUUGAUACUGGAUGGCUUGAGAUUGGGAGAGGGAUGCGGAAUUCCAGGUGUAGCGGUGAAAUGCGUAGAUAUCUGGAGGAACACCGGUGGCGAAGGCGGCAUUUUGGAUCAACACUGAUGCUGAGGAGCGAAAGCCAGGGAGCAAAUG